rnacentral:rRNA from 1 species
AUCGACUUGGUCUAUCCAGCAAGCUUAAGCCGUUAGGUGUAGGCGCAGCGAAAGCGAGUCUUAAUAGGGCGAUGAGUUGGAUGGAUCAGACCCGAAACCGAGUGAUCUAGGCAUGGCCAGGUUGAAGGUAAGGUAACACUUACUGGAGGACCGAACCCACUUCUGUUGAAAAAGAACGGGAUGAGCUGUGCCUAGGGGUGAAAGGCCAAUCAAACUCGGAGAUAGCUGGUUCUCUGCGAAAUCUAUUUAGGUAGAGCGUCAUCCGAAUACCCUCGGGGGUAGAGCACUGGAUGGGUAAUGGGGCCCCACAGGCUUACUGAUCCUAACCAAACUCCGAAUACCGAGGAG